rnacentral:rRNA from 1 species
UACGUAGGGUGCAAGCGUUAAUCGGAAUUACUGGGCGUAAAGGGCCAGUAGGCGGCCAACUAAGUCCGACGUGAAAUCCCCAAGCUUAACUUGGGAACUGCGUCGGAUACUGGAUGGCUUGAAUUCGGGAGAGGGAUGCAGAAUUCCAGGUGUAGCGGUGAAAUGCGUAGAUAUCUGGAGGAAUACCGGUGGCGAAGGCGGCAUCCUGGACCGACAUUGAGCGCGUGAACGGCGAAAAGCUAG